AACUUUUAGCAAUGGAUCUCUAGCGUCAACUUUCAGCAAUGGAUCUCUUGGUUCUGGCAUCGAUGAAGAACGCAGCGAAAUGCGAUAAGUAAUGUGAAUUGCAGAAUUCAGUGAAUCAUCGAAUCUUUGAACGCACAUUGCGCCCGCCAGUAUUCUGGCGGGCAUGCCUGUCCGAGCGUCAUUUCAACCCUCGAACCCCUCCGGGGGUCCGGCGUUGGGGAUCGGCCCUUAACCGGCCGGCCCCGAAAUACAGUGGCGGCCUCGCCGCAGCCUCUCAUGCGCAGUAGUUUGCACACUCGCACCGGGAGCGCGGCGCGGCCACAGCCGUAAAACAAACCAAACUCUGAAAUGUUGACCUCGGAUCAGGUAGGAAUACCCGCUGAACUUAAGCAUAUCAAUAAGCGGAGGCU
rnacentral:misc_RNA from 1 species